rnacentral:rRNA from 1 species
UACGUAGGGGGCGAGCGUUGUCCGGAAUCAUUGGGCGUAAAGCGCGUGUAGGCGGCCCGGUAAGUCCGCUGUGAAAGUCCAGGGCUCAACCCUGGGAUGCCGGUGGAUACUGUCGGGCUCGAGUCCGGAAGAGGCGAGUGGAAUUCCUGGUGUGGCGGUGAAAUGCGCAGAUAUCAGGAGGAACACCAAUGGCGAAGGCAGCUCGCUGGGACGUGACUGACGCUGAGACGCGAAAGCGUGGGGAGCAAACAGG